GACGAACGCUGGCGGCGUGCCUAAUACAUGCAAGUCGAACGCAGUGGGGACGGGUGAGUAACACGUGGGUAACCUCCCCUCAGAGGGGAUACCACUUGGAAACAGGUGCUAAACCCUUACUGCUUGAUGUACCCUGGGUGCAUUAGCUAGUUGGGGAGGUAACGGCGCACCAAGGCCACGAUGCAUAGCCGACCUGAGAGGGGGAUAGGCCACACUGGGACUGAGACACGGCCCAGACUCCGACGGGAGGCAGCAGUAGGGAAUCUUCGGCAAUGGACGAAAGUCUGACCGAGCAACGCCGCGUGAGUGAAGAAGGUUUUCGGAUCGUAAAACUCUGUUGUUAGAGAAGCGGUAUCUAACCAGAAAGCCACGGCUAACUACGUGCCAGCAGCCGCGGUAAUAC
rnacentral:rRNA from 1 species